rnacentral:lncRNA from 10 species
UUUCUUUGCCUACUUGUCCUCCAUCUUGUGGCUAUUCUCGGCCUAGAGUUUCAUGUUGUCUGUCUUCUAGAAAGUCUUUUAUUGUUUCAUCAGGGCGCAAUGCAGACGCAGUGCAGGCGUGACCUCUCCUGCCCAGCCUCUCCCUGGCACUUGACAUCCUGUUGACAUCCGUCUCCCCUCUAAACUAAGGAAUGCGAGUGGUAUUUAUUUUUAUAUCCGCAGCAGCUCAGUUCCCACUAAAAAUAUCUAAUACUUACUGAGCUCUAUGUGUCAGUCACCAAGCACUUUACACGUAGAAUUGCA